rnacentral:rRNA from 1 species
UUAACCGUAUAGGGGAGCCGGAGGGAAACCGAGUCUUAAUUGGGCGUUAAGUUGCAGGGUAUAGACCCGAAACCCGGUGAUCUAGCCAUGGGCAGGUUGAAGGUUGGGUAACACUAACUGGAGGACCGAACCGACUAAUGUUGAAAAAUUAGCGGAUGACCUGUGGCUGGGGGUGAAAGGCCAAUCAAACCGGGAGAUAGCUGGUUCUCCCCGAAAGCUAUUUAGGUAGCGCCUCGUGAAUUCAUCUCCGGGGGUAGAGCACUGUUUCGGCUAGGGGGCCAUCCCGGCUUACCAACCCGAUGCAAACUGCGAAUACCGGAGAAUGUUAUCACGGGAGACACACGGCGGGUGCUAACGUCCGUCGUGAAGAGGGAAACAACCCAGACCGCCAGCUAAGGUCCCAAAGUCAUGGUUAAGUGGGAAACGAUGUGGGAAGGCCCAGACAGCCAGGAUGUUGGCUUAGAAGCAGCCAUCAUUUAAAGAAAGCGUAAUAGCUCACUGGUCGAGUCGGCCUGCGCGGAAGAUGUAACGGGGCUAAACCAUGCACCGAAGCUGCGGCAGCGACGCUGAUGCGUUGUUGGGUAGGGGAGCGUUCUGUAAGCCUGCGAAGGUGGCCUG